rnacentral:rRNA from 1 species
UGCGUAGGCGGAUAAAUAAGUCAGUGGUGAAAUCUUUCGGCUCAACCGAGAAACUGCCAUUGAUACUGUUUAUCUUGAGUUCGGUAGAGGUAGGCGGAAUGUGUAAUGUAGCGGUGAAAUGCUUAGAUAUUACACAGAACACCAAUUGCGUAGGCAGCUUACUAUGCCGACACUGACGCUGAGGCACGAAAGCGUGGGGAGCGAACAGGAUUAGAUACCCUGGUAGUCC